UACAGAGGUCCCGAGCGUUGUUCGGAUUCACUGGGCGUAAAGGGUGCGUAGGUGGCGGGGUAAGUUUGAUGUGAAAUCUCCAAGCUUAACUUGGAAACUGCAUUGAAUACUAUCCCGCUCGAGGUUUGGAGGGGGGACUGGAAUUCUCGGUGUAGCAGUGAAAUGCGUAGAUAUCGUCUGGAACGCCAAAGGUGAAAACAGACUGCUGGGGCUGUGCUGACGCUGAGACACGAAAGCCAGGGGAGCGAACGGG
rnacentral:rRNA from 1 species